GCGGGACGACGGGGGAUGCCGCCAUUUUAUAUCGCAGCGAGAGAGAGAUAGAGAGACGGGCGUCGCCGGGGCUUCACUCACCUUCACGCUCCCUCCCUUGUUAAUUACUCCUCCACCUCCUCCUCCACCACCUUCUUCUUCAACUUCUCCGACGCAGUAGAAGAAGAAGAAGGCGGCGGCGGCGACGACGACAACGACGACGGUCCAAACAUUCUCGGCGUAAAGGAGCAGGGAGCGGAGGGGCAGCGAGCCGACAUGGUGAAGAUCUUCGUGGGGAACCUGCCGCGCCCGACCACGGCCGAGGAGAUCCGCGCUCUGUUCGAGAAAUACGGUGACGUCAGCGAGUGUGACCUCAUCAAGAACUAUGGGUUUGUGCACAUGGACAACAAGGAGGCGGCGAAGGAGGCGAUCGAGCACCUGCACCACUACAAGCUGCACGGGGUCACCAUCAAUGUGGAGGCUAGCAAGAGCAUGACCAAGUCGUCCACCAAGCUACACGUGGGCAAGGUCAGCCCGCUCUGCACCAGCCAGGAUCUGCAGGCCAAGUUCGAGGAGUACGGGGCCGUGCUCGAGUGCGACAUCAUCAAGGACUACGCCUUCGUGCACAUGGAGAGGGGCGACGACGCCAUGGCCGCCAUCAAGGGGCUCGACGGCACCCAACUCAAAGGCAAGCGCAUCCACGUGGAGCUGUCCAAGAGCCGGCUGCGGGUGCAGCCAGGCAUGGGGGAGAAGAACACCUGCUUCCGCUGCGGAAAGGACGGCCACUGGUCCAAGGAGUGUCCGACUGACCGUUCCGACGUGGGCAUGAGCAUUCCUGCCCACUACCUUGACGCUUACACCAUGUCGGGCCGGUACGGGGAGCAGGCGUUCUACGAUAGCCGCUACGUGGACUACUACGAGAAGUACCGGGCGGGGGCGUACGGGGCGGUGGGCACUCCCUACCCGGACCGCUGGGGCGCCCAACUGGGGGGCUACGGCGCCAGCCUGCGGGAACGCAAGGCCCUGGAGGCCUACGGGCAGAGCGCCAUCUCCCAGCCGCCCACCUACUACGCCCGCGAUCGCAGCCCGCUGCGCCGCUCCGUGGUCUCCAACGUCACCGACUACGCCACGGCGGCUACCGAGUACGCAGCGGCCGCCACUGCCUCGGCCACCGCCAGUGACUACGCCGCCCAGGCUGCCAGCUACGCUGCCCAGGACUACGCCGGGGCCGGGUACGCCGGAUAUGCUGCCCAGUCGGCUGCCGCAGACUAUGCCGGCGGCAGCUACACGGCCGCAGACUACGCCGGCGCCUACGGCUACGACUACUCCGGGGCGGCCUCCAACAGCGCGGGUUACGGUGCUGCCGGAGCCACCGCAGACGCCUACGUGGGACAGGCGCAGUACUCUGCCUACUAAUCACAGGAAGGAGAGGAGAAUGCAGGAGCUUCCCUGCCCCCACACACCUGCACUGUUGGACGGUGCCUCUCCUCCCACUGGCCGGGCUCGCUCCAGGUCUCCUCCCCGGCCAAACCCGCCUCCUGCUUCGAUUUGGUAAUACCUGUUGGUGAGAUCACGGCUGCUCCACACACAAACUCGGCUCGGACCUUGUGCAGAGUACCCACACCAUCGAGAUUUAGCACAGAGAACUCCGGGGACAAUACUAUCUGUAGAUGUGAAAUGUUGGUGUUUUUCUUUCAAAAAUACUAGCAGAAAAAAGUCGAUUUUCUUUCUAAUUCCCCCUCCCCCACCCACCCCAAUAUGAUCUGUGACUGUUCUGGGUUUUAUUUGAAGCUAUUUGUUACUCAUUUUUAAAAAAAUAAAGAUUUUCUUUUGGUUUUUGUGUUGUUGGUAAAUGUUGUGUGGUGGUGGAAGUCUCUAUAAAAGGGAGCGACUCCUGAAUGUAGACCUGAUGGUGACCACAAAUCCCCCCCCCUCCCUGUAGCACCCUGCAAUAAACGAUGAGUAUUUG